rnacentral:misc_RNA from 1 species
AUGAAAACAGGAUCGCAAAUCACAUAUUAUUAAUUAUAACAAGCAAAGAGAGAUAAAAUCUACGGAAGAAGAAAUGCACAGCCAAAAAAGAAUCCAAGGUGAGGAGACAGAGGAAGGAGAACAAAUAUACUAAGUAAUCAUUCACGAAAUUAAAUUAAAUUCUUGUAAAACAAAUGCAAACUUAUCCCCUUGAUUAAAUACAAUGCUGGUAGAUAAAUAAAAAAUCAUUUCUCUAAGCUCCAAGAUAACAAAUUCAAAAGAAAUUGUAGGAGGAGGCGUCCAGUGGGUGGAUAAGGUAUGUGAGAACCAACGCAACAAGCAUCAACGCGUAGGCGAUUCCUUGAUCUACAGAAGUCCCUGUAACAAAGCAGAUUUAAACCAACCUUCAAUAAUUUUUUAUUUUAAACAAUUUUUGUUUUUUAUUUAUAAGCACAUAAAUGCAUACAUUACAAGAUCCAGAAAAGAAAAGAAAAUGCCGUUGAACAGAAACGAGAAGGAGAAACGGAUUUCAUGAUUUCAGAUAUAGGAAAACAACCGUAGAGAAAGUAAAAGAAAACAGGAACAGAUCUACCUCUAAGGAAGCAAAAACACUAGGAAAAAGAAAAAACCGGUGAACUUACCAUCGCUGGUGGGAGCAGGAGCAGGAGCCUGUGCACGAACAGAGGGGGAGAAAAUAAGGAAAAUAAGAGUGAAGAGGGCAAAAAAUCCGAGGAACGACCUUGAAGAGCCGUAACCUGUCAUUUUUGUAUAUGUUAAUGAAGUUGAGGAUAAAUAACGAAGAAGAAACAAUGCUAGUUGGAGAGAGAGAGAGAGAGGGAAA